rnacentral:rRNA from 1 species
CACGUAGGGUGCAAGCGUUGUCCGGAAUUAUUGGGCGUAAAGGGCUCGUAGGCGGUCCGUCACGUCGGGAGUGAAAACUCGGGGCUCAACCCCGAGCCUGCUUCGAUACGGGCGGACUAGAGGUAGGUAGGGGAGAACGGAAUUCCUGGUGUAGCGGUGGAAUGCGCAGAUAUCGGGAAGAACACCCGUGGCUAAGGCGGCUCUCUAGUACGGUACUGACGCUGAGACGCGAAAGCGUGGGGAGCGAACAGG